rnacentral:tRNA from 2 species
CAACUUGUAGCUUAAUAAAAGCAUCUUGCUUACACCAAGAAAAUACCCGUUAAACCCAAGUCAAGUUGA